GAUCUGGACAGAAAUUAAUAAUCUUCCUUCUGUUUCUCUCUCUCCCUCUUUCUCUACUACCGAUGCAAUAAUUGGAUUAGGAUCGACGGAAAUUAGAGAGCGAGAAAUGAGAAAACUACCAUAUUUGGUCACAAGCACAGCCGGUUGGAUUGGUAGAAUGCAUGUGAGCAAGCGGACGUUUAAGAAUGAUCGUGCUCCUCCGCGUUCCAAGAUGCAGAAGAUGCUACUGAUUUCAUCGGAAACUACCACGUACGGCGGUGCACGGCCAAGUUGUUAAGGACCGGCAUGGGACGGCUGUACAUAACGAUCGAUGGGUUGCUGCUCCAGUACGGCGGGACGACGACGUUUUACGGCGGCACAUGGCGAUGACAAGAACUCACGGCUGGAUCAGUUUUAAUCAAUACAUGAUCACAUGCAUGGAUGGCGGACAUCACAUUUGCAUCCAUAAUCUACGUACUAGAUCUUGUAUACUUUAUACCAGAUGAAUUAAUUAUAGAAGUAUAUAAUAAAUAUACUCGUUCUGAAAUAAAGGAUGUAUGUAUUUCCUUUUUU